UACAGAGGGUGCGAGCGUUGUCCGGAAUCACUGGGCGUAAAGGGCGCGUAGGCGGCCUGAUAAGUCGGGGGUGAAAUCCUGUGGCUUAACCACAGGGCUGCCUCCGAGACUGUCGGGCUCGAGCACAGUAGAGGCAGGUGGAAUUCCCGGUGUAGCGGUGGAAUGCGUAGAGAUCGGGAAGAACAUCGGUGGCGAAGGCGGCCUGCUGGGCUGUUGGCUGACGCUGGAGGCGCGACAGCGUGGGGAGCAAACAGG
rnacentral:rRNA from 1 species